rnacentral:rRNA from 1 species
AUACGUAGGGGGCGAGCGUUACCCGGAAUCACUGGGCGUAAAGGGAGCGUAGGUGGCCUAACAUGUCAACUGUGAAAACCCGGAGCUCAACUCCGGACUUGCAGUUGAAACUGGUAGGCUUGAGGACGGUAGAGGAAGACGGAACUGCCAGUGUAGGGGUAAAAUCCUUAGAUAUUGGCAGGAACGCCGGUGACGAAGGUGGUUUUCUGGGCCGGUUCUGACACUGAUGCUCGAAAGCCAGGGGAGCGAACGGGAUUAGAUACCCCGGUAGUCCUGGCCCUAAACGAUGUUCACUAGGUGUGGGGAGCGGAAAGCUCUCCGUGCUGAAGCUAACGCGAUAAGUGAACCGCCUGGGGAGUACGCCCGCAAGGGUGAA